UGCAUUUGGACUUAAUGCUGGCCACUUCAAUACAGGAAUGUCUACAUCGUUUAAAUAUAAUUCUUCGGUGGGAAAUUUGGCAAUCUGCAGUAGAAUAAAAUUAUAUCUAAUAAAAUUAAUAUAUGUAAGAAGAAAAUCUUGCAGGAAUUCAAUAAUGAAUCUGACAGCAGUUAGAGGGCCUCUUGGAAUAAUGUACAACUCUGUUCGUGCCUCUUAAAAUAUUGCAGAUCCCACCAUAAAUCAACCUAUUUUAUUGGGAAUUAUUAGUACUUUCUCUAAUUUUAUCUAGUAGGUAUGUCUCCGGUCUCUCUGGGUUACGUCACCCGAUUUUUACGUUAGUCAAUUUCAAUCUAAAAAAAUUUGUAUUUUUUAAUGUACUGCAGUUGUAGUGAUUAUAUUAAGGGAAAGUGUUCUAAGAACUACGCAAUAAAACUAGAUUGUUCAGAAAAGGCAAAGGUUUUAAGUUGUUUCUGCGGGUGAAACGGUGUUUUACAACGGUGAAGUGACAUAAAUUGGCGACCGUGACAGGACAGUUUGGCUCAAGUUCGUAGCGUGCUACUAUUUAGACAAACUUUAUCGUUUCACCUGGACUUUAGCGGUUUUGAACUGGUUUGUCUGCUGAUUCGUCGUUGUGUAAUACCAAGUGCUGAACUGUUGACGUGUGCCGACACGGAAUUUGACGCUUACCUUUGAACCCAAUCCGACUUGCUUCGCCUGGACUAAUGCACUUCUUAAACACCUAGAAAUCACUCUACUCACAGUAUACGAUGCUCUACACCAAGCAGCCGACUACGCAGUUCUUCUUGCCAUGAAUAUCUGCUUUGGAAUUAUUAUUAUAUUCCUCAUCGCCAAGCAUAUUUUGCAAACUAUUAAUAUUUAUGAGCCCAAAUAUUAUGCUGCGCCGGCCAUAUUUUAACCGCACACGACUAAUUUUGGGUGUACAUCAUUUUCCUGUUUGUGGGGGACGCGAUAAUUAACUGGCACACAAAUACGAAAAAAAUGCCAUUGAAAAGAGUUAUUCACAUUUUACUGUGUAUAUAUAGCUUCCGAAUUAAAAGGGUUAUUUUUUUUAUGUUAAAGCGAUCUUAUACGGUUUUUGUAUGUUUUAUGUUUUGUAAAUCGAGUCAUAGUUAUAUAUGUUUGCCUAUAGAAUAGUAAAAAUAUUAGCUUGCUGUAUUUAUUAUUGUAAAUAUAACUAGGUAGUGUAAAAUCUAUUUUAUUAUAUUUUUUUUAAAUUUAUUAAUAUACAUGUGUUUGCCUUUUAAAACCAAA